UUUUGUUAUAGAAACCACUCCUACUUCUGCUU
rnacentral:piRNA from 1 species